rnacentral:rRNA from 1 species
CGUGUAGGCGGUCCGCUAAGUCUGAUGUGGAAGCCCGGGGCUCACCCCCGGAAGGGCAUUGGAAACUGGCGGACUCGAGUCUCGGAGAGGAAGGUGGAAUUCCUGGUGUAGCGGUGAAAUGCGUAGAUAUCAGGAGGAAUACCGGUGGCGAAGGCGGCCUUCUGGACGAUGACUGACGCUGAGACGCGAAAGCGUGGGGAGCAAACA